AUGGGCCGAGCGCUUGGUUCGUGCCCCACUCUUGGACGUCUUUCCAGGGCCCAGGAAGACACUGGCUCCUCGCACGUGCUGAGGGGCUGUGGAGAAAGCGUGACACUUCAGAAGACGGCCUCAGGCUCCUCAGACCUGGGGCUGCCACCUGAACUGAACCCAGAUGCACAGCCCACAGGGCCCCUCACAAGGCCGCAGCCUCCGCCACCACGUCAGGCCCUAAGAGUCCACCUGCCUCACCGGGAUCCAGCCCUGCUGGCAGCAUUUCUGGUAUUUAUUUAUUUAUUUAUUUAUUUAUUUAUGAGAGACACAGAGAGAGAGGCAGAGACCCAGGCAGAGGGAGAAGCAGGCUCCAUGCAGGGAGCCCGACGUGGGACUCGAUCCCAGGACCCCAGGAUCACCACCUGAGCCAAAGGCAGAUGCUCAACUGCUGAGCCACCCAGGUGUCCCAGCAUUUCUGGUAUUUAUUUUUUUGUUUUAUUUUUUAGCUUUUACAUUUUUAAAUUAAGUUUUAAUCGUAAUACAGGUUAGUCAACACACAGUGUAAUAUUAGUUUCAAAAAAUAUGGAACGCUGCAAGAAUUUGCUUGUCAUGGCCCCUGUGCAAGCAUUUCUGGUCUUUAAACCCACCAAAUACUUCCUGCCUCGGGGCCUUCCCACCCACACUUCCCCUGGCCUGGGGGCUGGAUGGCUCCCUCCACAAAACUACAGACUGGGUGGCUUACACUAUAGAAAUAUAUUUCCUCAUAGCUCUGGAGGCUGGAAGUCCGGGAUCAAGUGUCGGCAGGUGUGGUUUCUCGUGGGGCCUCUCUCCUUGACUUGCAGAUGGCCACCUUCUCGCUGUGUCCUCCGUGUGUGCACAUCUCUCAUGUCUCUUUGGGUAUCCAAACUCCCUCCUCUUAUAAGGACACCAGUCAGAUUGGAUUAGGGCCCAUCCUCACCCUCAUUUUCACUUUAUCCCCUCUUUAAAGGGCCUACCUUCAAAUAUGGUCACAUUCUGAGGUACUGGGGGACAAGGCUUCCACAUGAAUUUAGGGGGAGACACCACUCAGCCCAUCACAUCACCCCUCAAGUGUCUUCUGGAAUGUUUUAUUUUCCAGGAGUAUCUCCAGAGCCUCCCCACAGACGUGCUGGCUGCUCAUGGUGGGGCUCUAUCCAUCUGGGGGAUGGAGAGGGAGCCUUUCCUUUGCCCAAAGCACUGUCUGCUCCUAGAGCCACACACCCCUGGGCCGUGUCUGCCCAGAGGGGACAUCGGUCACACAGGCAGGUGGGAGCUCUCCUUGCCCUUAGCCUGGACCUCCAUCCCCUUUACCUUCUCUCCUUAUCACCCUGUCUUGUUUAGUGCAACAGCCUGUCAUGGUGUUUGACGUUUUGUUUUGUUUGGCUUUUGACCUCUCCCCCCUCUAGAGGGGCCCUUGCCUUUUUCAGGGUCGCAUCUUUGGCCCCUAGUGCAGAGCCUGACGCAGGAGUAAAUCUUCACAGGAAGAAGGAAAGUGCUUUCCUGCCCCUUCCGCACGCUUCCUGGCAGAUUCUGGGCCCGGCUCCCUUUGGCUCCCAGGUCUGAUGAGCUCAUCCAGGAGGCAACGGAGAAAGAAGUAAGAGGCUUUCGAAGGUGUGAGGAAGGAGGCGAGUUCACCAGAGGUCAGACAGCUGCUGGCCGGCCUGAACCCCGGCAGGCAGCGGGUGGAAAUGCUGAGCGAGUCGGAAAAACCGUCUGGAGCCGAGAGGAGGAGCUGAGUGAGCCUUGGAGACACAUAAGGUGCACUUACGGGGGAGAACGAAAGCAAGUCAAAGAGCCCACAGUCUGCAUAAAACUGCCAGCGGAGGCAGAACCAGCCUCCGAUUGGCGGGAGGCAGCGAGGCCCAGACGAGCGAGGCGCGUCGCUGGGAGGACAGCCCAUAAUACCUGCAAGGCCGGCCCAUAAAUCACUCCCGAGGCUGGCAUGUUGCAGAAGACAUUACCCUCUGAGGAAAAUCGUUUCCUGACCCAUUGGCUCAUCUAUUUCAGGGUGUUGUUUUUGGAAUAAUUGCAGGCAUAUAACUUGCAAGAGCAUCAUUUGGAUGUUUUUCUUGAGGCGCGGUGAAAACCCGAGUCUCCCAGAUGCCUGUUCCAGCUAAGGAUUGCCCGGCCGGGUCACUGCCCAGACGAACAUUUUUGAGAUUUCCUUUACUUGGCUCAGUGGGCCAUUGUAAAUCCAGGCUAAUAUUUUUCCUCGCAGGUGAACGUAUUCACAUUUGGGGUUGGUGUUAGGCCACACAGAGUCCAACGAAACGGCCUAUUGUUCCAAGUCGGAAGGCAAAGGCACCAAAGCACUGACAUUCUUUUAUUUAUUUAUUUAUAGAGUUAAUUAAUUAAUUCAAGAGAGAGCAUGAGCAGGGAGGACAGGGCAAACAGGCUCCCCGCCGAGCAGGGAGCCCGAUGCGAGACUCAAUCCCAGGACCCCGAGAUCACAACCUGAGCCAAAGGCAGACGCUCAACCACUGAGCCACCCAGGUGCCCCCAGUCCUGACAUUGUUAUUAGAGGUUCUAUGAAUGGAGCACAACAAUUGAGUUUCUUUUGUUCUUGCUCCGUGGGGCCCACAAUUGUGAAUCUAUAACUUGCUGUACGGAUUCCAACUUAUUAAUCAUUUGAAAGCAAAAUUCUAUGUAAUGAUUGAAAUCGAAAAUGAGGAUUUGAUAAAGGGAAGUGUCACCUGACACCAUCUUCUUCCCCGGUGGAUGCCAAGUGGCAGAUUCUUGAGUUGCCCCCCGACCCCAGAGUGGGUGGCGGGGAGCCGAGGUGUGGGCCAGACUAGGGAAGGCUGGAAUGUUCCUGGGUGAGGGUGUCAUCCCUGCCCCAUGCAUAGGUGUGGACCAGGCCUAGUGGGUCCAGGCGAGACCUUCGGUUUGGCCAUGGUGGUGUUGGCGGCUGCCUCCUGGGUUUCCUGCCUGGUUUGCUGCCAGGACUAGGAGGCUGAGCUAGGAAGGGUUCAGUUUUUCGGGCCAGACCUCAUCGUGAGAAUUCUAAGUUCUCACACCUGGGCAACACUUUCGGAUUCAGGAACUGUUUUACAACCACGGACCCAUUUAACCUCACAGCGUUCAUGGGAGGUGACAGGACUGGAUUUAUUAUCCCCAUUAGGUAGGUAGCAAACUGAGGAGCAGAAAGAAAAAGUGACCUGGCCAGAUUAUAGAACAAGGACUCCAGUGAGGUCUCCUGACCUGUAGAGCAGUGAGCCUCCAUCCCCCAAUCACACUCUACUCUGUGCCAGGUUGGGUCCCUCCAGGGCUUCCAGGACUCGGGGCACAAUGUCCAGGGCUAAGUCCUGGGAAGAGAAAAGGAUCUACUUCUCAUUCCAACAGGAUUGUGCAGUGGAGAAAAUCUCAACCCUAGCGGUUUGGGGAAGGGAGUAUAACUUGGUUUUUGUUUUAAUUACUAAAAUGAAAAUUUUUAAAUGGGUCUAGGCCCAACAUGAGGAUCAAACUCACAACACUGAGAGCAAGAGUCUUGGGCCACUUGCUAUUUACAGGAAACCAGAAAUGAAUCACACUCCUAUCUGCUGAUCGGGCGAGUCUGGAUCUUGGCCAUUUGUGACUUGUUGGAUGCUGUGUUUCAAGGCACAGCCUUGGUGGUGUGGGAGGAAGGGUUUGUCCAAGGGGGCAUAAUUUGGGGCACAACGUCCCCUGUCUUAGUCCUCCUCAGCCUCUCCAUGAUUACUGUCUGCCCUCAAUGCCCACGUUGUGACCCCAGGUCCCUUGUCCAUGCUGCUGGGACAGUAGUCUGGGCUCUUAAGCCACCUUGAGAAGACCAGGAGUUCUCUUAUUUUCAACUGAUUCCAUCAUCCUUUGCUUCAGAAGGAUGCUGCCACAUCCACGUUGACACAGGGUGCUGCGGCUCAGAGACUGUCCCCAGGAUUUAAGUAUCUUAGGCAAAGGCCAGGGCUGGGUGCAGGAGACCUGGGUCCUAGCUCUGUCGCUGAGGUCCUGGGAGACCAGCACAGACUCUUAUAAUUGCUCAGCACCUUGGUCUCCCUCCCUUUUAAAGUGGGACUCAUGGCUUUGGUGCUCUUCCAGGCAAGGGUGACUGGGAGGCUGGUGUAGAAGGAUGAGGAAGGGUUGGUGAUGAUGCUGGCUCUGGAAGGAGUGUCAUUGUGAUUCUAGAGCUAGGUGGCCUGAGUUUGAGAUUCCAGCUCCUUCGCUUACCGACCUGCUUCAGUUUCCCCAUCUGCAAGACGGCGAUUUAAAAAAUCCUGCCAUAAUAAAAAUCUUUAGAAAAAAAAAGGGGGGGGUGCA
rnacentral:lncRNA from 1 species